rnacentral:sRNA from 1 species
ACUUUUACAUAAUUAGAACAACAUUACACUGAUGUCAAGGUCAGUAUAUAUUUCUACUAAUAUCAAAAAGUGUGUAAUGAAUAUUCAUUGAUUAGAGUCAGAAUAUGUAGUUAUAAUACGCGAUAUGCAUAUUCAUACAGUAUGAAAUCUUUGAAUUUAGACAGUUUUCAUUUUCAUGAUAAAUAAUUAUAAACAUUUUAGUCAGGAAGAGGUAUGCAAAAAAUUGUUAUGCAUAAAAUGCUAUUUCAAAAUGAAUUAUAAAUGAAAUUCAAUUUAUAGUUAGAAUAUACCGGUAUAUAAUAUUAAACUACAGAUUCGUUUUAAAACAAUGAAACUCUAAAUUUUAUUCUGAAUUGAGAUUAUAGUUUGCGAUGAAAAUGUAUAUUGUGAUAAGGAAAAAUCUUGGGGUAAAAAUGACAAUUGGACACAAGAUCAAAAGCUUAUUACAGUAGCUGUAUUUAUUCACCACGACCAAUAUGUAUCUCAGAUGUGGAUAUAUUUUUUUAUUUGUAUAUUAUCAAUUGUAUACACGUGUAUAUUGAAGGCUUUGUGAAAAACCAAGGCCAGCAUUAAAAAUACGAA